AGAGUUUGAUCCUGGCUCAGGAUGAACGCUAGCUACAGGCUUAACACAUGCAAGUCGAGGGGCAGCAUGGAAGAAGCUUGCUUCUUCUGAUGGCGACCGGCGCACGGGUGCGUAACGCGUAUCAAACCUGCCUCAUACUCGGGGAUAGCCUUGCGAAAGUAAGAUUAAUACCCGAUGUUGUUAUGUUACCGCAUGGUGAUAUAACCAAAGAUUUAUCGGUAUGAGAUGGUGAUGCGUCCGAUUAGGUAGUAGGCGGGGUAACGGCCCACCUAGCCUUCGAUCGGUAGGGGUUCUGAGAGGAAGGUCCCCCACACUGGAACUGAGACACGGUCCAGACUCCUACGGGAGGCAGCAGUGAGGAAUAUUGGUCAAUGGACGCAAGUCUGAACCAGCCAAGUAGCGUGCAGGAUGACGGCCCUCUGGGUUGUAAACUGCUUUUAGUUGGGAAUAAAAAAGAGGACGUGUCCUCUAUUGUAUGUACCUUCAGAAAAAGGACCGGCUAAUUCCGUGCCAGCAGCCGCGGUAAUACGGAAGGUCCAGGCGUUAUCCGGAUUUAUUGGGUUUAAAGGGAGCGUAGGCGGAUUAUUAAGUCAGUGGUGAAAGACGGUGGCUCAACCAUCGUUAGCCAUUGAAACUGGUAGUCUUGAGUGCAGACAGGGAUGCUGGAACUCGUGGUGUAGCGGUGAAAUGCUUAGAUAUCACGAUGAACUCCGAUCGCGAAGGCAGGUGUCCGGGCUGCAACUGACGCUGAGGCUCGAAAGUGUGGGUAUCAAACAGGAUUAGAUACCCUGGUAGUCCACACAGUAAACGAUGUAUACUCGCGGUUUGCGAUACAAUGUAAGCCGCCAAGCGAAAGCAUUAAGUAUACCACCUGGGGAGUACGCCGGCAACGGUGAAACUCAAAGGAAUUGACGGGGGCCCG
rnacentral:rRNA from 1 species